rnacentral:rRNA from 1 species
GGGGAAUCUUCCGCAAUGGGCGAAAGCCUGACGGAGCAAUACCGCGUGAGGGAGGAAGGCUCUUGGGUUGUAAACCUCUUUUCUCAGGGAAGAACACAAUGACGGUACCUGAGGAAUAAGCAUCGGCUAACUCCGUGCCAGCAGCCGCGGUAAUACGGAGGAUGCAAGCGUUAUCCGGAAUGAUUGGGCGUAAAGCGUUCGUAGGUGGUUCUUCAAGUCUGCUGUCAAAGCGCAGGGCUUAACUCUGUAAAGGCGGUGGAAACUGAAGAGCUAGAGUGCGGUAGGGGUAGAGGGAAUUCCCGGUGUAGCGGUGAAAUGCGUAGAGAUCGGGAAGAACACCAGCAGCGAAAGCGCUCUACUGGGCCUGCACUGACACUGAGGGACGAAAGCUAGGGGAGCGAAUGGGAUUAGAUACCCCUG